GGAAUGGGUCAGUGGUAAAGCAUCUGCUCGGCAUGCAGAAGAUCCCAGGUUCGGUUCCCAGCAUCUCCA
rnacentral:tRNA from 1 species